UCUUGGUCAUUUAGAGGAAGUAAAAGUCGUAACAAGGUUUCCGUAGGUGACCUGCGGAAGGAUCAUUACAGAAAGUAAACGCGGAUCAAUCCGCGAACUUCUAAACCUUUGACGAUUGACUUAUGUUGCCUCGGCGGGUUCUCUCGCCAGAGGAUACAUCAAAACUCCUGUUUUAACGGUGUUGUCUGAGCUACAAGCAACGAAUCAAAACUUUCAACAACGGAUCUCUUGGUUCUGGCAUCGAUGAAGAACGCAGCGAAAUGCGAUAAGUAGUGUGAAUUGCAGAAUUCAGUGAAUCAUCGAAUCUUUGAACGCACAUUGCGCCCCUUGGUAUCCCGAGGGGCAUGCCUGUUCGAGCGUCAUUUCACCACUCAAGCCUGGCUUGGUGUUGGGCGACGUCCCCCUUUAGGGACGCGCCUCGAAACGCUCGGCGGCGUGGCACCGGCAUUAAGCGUAGCAGAAUCUUUCGCUUUGAAAGUCGGGGCCCCGUCUGCCGGAAGACCUACUCACAAGGUGACCUCGGAUC
rnacentral:rRNA from 1 species